GUCUACAGCUAUACCACCCUGAAUGUGCCCAAUCUUGUGUCAUCUCAGUAGCUGUGCAGAGUUGGGCCUGGUUAGUACUUGGAUGGGAAAACACCAUGCUUUGUAGACA
rnacentral:rRNA from 1 species